CAGCAGCCGCGGGAAUACGAAGGGGGCCAGCGUUGUUCGGAUUUACUGGGCGUAAAGCGCACGUAGGCGGAUCCUUAAGUCAGAGGCGAAAUCCCAAGGCUCAACCUUGGAACUGCCUUUGAUACUGGGGAUCUCGAGUCCGGGAGAGGUGAGUGGAACUGCGAGUGUAGAGGUGAAAUUCGUAGAUAUUCGCAAGAACACCAGUGGCGAAGGCGGCUCACUGGCCCGGUACUGACGCUGAGGUGCGAAAGCGUGGGGAGCAAACAGGAUUAGAUACCCCUGUAGUCCCUGUCUCUUAUAA
rnacentral:rRNA from 1 species